CACCAGAUGAAUAUUAACACUGAAUGGAUUUCAACUUCUUCGCAGUCACUUUUCCCUUUGAGGGGUUAAGCGGCCGGAAACCGUGCCAGGAAAAUGCACCUCCCGCCAUUAAAGAACAGACUGAACCCUUCAUUACGGGAAACAAACACUCAACCAUGUCGGUUUUUAUUUCUCUUCAAAAAGUGUUGAAAAUAUUUUACCGCAGUUUUCCACUGUUCUCUAUAUUCCUGCCUGUGAUCUCUGCAGCCCCCUACUUACCUUUUUUGAUGUAAUUAGGGGGUUAUGCACUGUAACCGAAUCAAAAUAAACAUCUGUGGCAUUUACAACAAACUUUACAACCACCCAGUGAAACUUUACAAUGAACCGGCUUGGAGUGUCUCGCUUAUUUCGCCUUGAACCAAUGCACAGGCAGCACAGAGGAAAACGCCAGAGAAGACAUACAAGUGAACAUAAGCUACACAUACUGCAUCCUGUACGGUGAGACUGACUCCCAGUGAGCCUGAGCGCGGGAUUUCCCCCGUAUGUGGAGUGCUAAUACGCCCAAGUUCCCAGGAAAUUUGAUGAAACCUCGCCACACCCGCUGUGAAAAUGACACACUGCUCCCCUGCAUGACCCAGCGCAGUGUUAUCUGAGAGCGGGGGCAGGCCUGAAUGUUUAAUUAGUGCCAGGCUUUCUAUUACGUCCACCGUGACAGCAAACAGGUGU